rnacentral:rRNA from 1 species
AUAGAUACCCUAUUAUUUUAGAGCCUAAUGUUGUUAGUAAAUAAAAAUUAUGAAAGCAAAAAAUUAUGGCGGUAUUUUAAGCUUUUCAGAGGAAUUUGCUCUUUAAUGGAUAAAACACCUAAAUCUUACUUGAAUUUGUUAAAUCAAUUUGUAUACCACUAUAAAAACAAUUAAUAACUUUAAUUGUUAAAAUUUAUUGAAUUAAAUUAUGUUAAGUCAAGGUGCAGUAAAAAUUUAAGAAUGAAGUGAAUUACAUUUCUUUUCAGAAAUAAAAAAUUAAAUUUACAUAUAGGAUUUGAAAGUAAAAUUAAAAUAGAAUGUUAAUUUGAAUAAAGCUCUAAAAUAUGUACAUAUCGCCCGUCACUCUUUAUUAAGAUAA